rnacentral:rRNA from 1 species
CACGCCGUAAACGUUGGGCGCUAGGUGUGGGGAACCUUCCACGUUCUCCGUGCCGCAGCUAACGCAUUAAGCGCCCCGCCUGGGGAGUACGGCCGCAAGGCUAAAACUCAAAGGAAUUGACGGGGGCCCGCACAAGCGGCGGAGCAUGUGGCUUAAUUCGACGCAACGCGAAGAACCUUACCAAGGCUUGACAUAUACCGAAAACUCGUAGAGAUACGGGGUCCGCAAGGGCGGUAUACAGGUGGUGCAUGGUUGUCGUCAGCUCGUGUCGUGAGAUGUUGGGUUAAGUCCCGCUACGAGCGCCAUCCCUCGUAUUAUAUUGCUUUCAAUG